GUGAAUCAUCAAAUUUUUGAACGCAAAUUGCACUCUCUUCGGAGAGUAUGCCUGUUUGAGGGUCAGCCUAAAAAAAAUCGAUGCGUCGCUCUUUUUUUUAAGGGUGAUCGCGUCGGAAUUGAGCCGUCUUUCAAAUGUUAAUUCAUGUCAAAGUGGCUUGAAAUUCAUCCAUCCGGUACGAUUGAAGCGUAUUUAAGAUCAAUUUUGAUUGAGAACGCGCGAUGACGUACCAUCUCACGUAGUACGUUUGACCUGGGUCAUCAGGUUCAUUCGUAUACGAUACUCAAAACUUUUGACCUCA
rnacentral:misc_RNA from 1 species